GAUGAACGCUGGCGGCGUGCUUAACACAUGCAAGUCGAACGGAAAGGCCAGUGCUUGCACUGGUACUCGAGUGGCGAACGGGUGAGUAACACGUGGGUGAUCUGCCCUGCACUUCGGGAUAAGCCUGGGAAACUGGGUCUAAUACCGGAUAGGACAAUGGUUUGGAUGCCGUUGUGGAAAGUUUUUUCGGUGUGGGAUGAGCUCGCGGCCUAUCAGCUUGUUGGUGGGGUAAUGGCCUACCCAGGCGUCGACGGGUAGCCGGCCUGAGAGGGUGUACGGCCACAUUGGGACUGAGAUACGGCCCAGACUCCUACGGGAGGCAGCAGUGGGGAAUAUUGCACAAUGGGCGCAAGCCUGAUGCAGCGACGCCGCGUGGGGGAUGACGGCCUUCGGGUUGUAAACUCCUUUCGCUAGGGACGAAGCGUAUUUGUGACGGUACCUGGAGAAGAAGCACCGGCUAACUACGUG
rnacentral:rRNA from 1 species